rnacentral:rRNA from 1 species
GACGAACGCUGGCGGCGUGCUUAACACAUGCAAGUCGAACGGUGAAGCGCCUUCCUUUUUGGUGGGUGUGGAUGAGUGGCGAACGGGUGAGUAACACGUGAGUAACCUGCCCCCUUCUUCUGGAUAACCGCAUGAAAGUGUGGCUAAUACGGGAUAUUCUGGGUCUGUCGCAUGAUGGGUCUGGGAAAGAUAUUGUUUCGGUGGGGGAUGGGCUCGCGGCCUAUCAGCUUGUUGGUGGGGUGAUGGCCUACCAAGGCGGUGACGGGUAGCCGGCCUGAGAGGGUGGACGGUCACACUGGGACUGAGACACGGCCCAGACUCCGACGAGAGGCAGCAGUGGGGAAUAUUGCACAAUGGGCGCAAGCCUGAUGCAGCGACGCCGCGUGAGGGAUGGAGGCCUUCGGGUUGUGAACCUCUUUCGCCAGUGAAGCAGGCCUGCCUCGUUUGUGGGUGGGUUGACGGUAGCUGGAGAAGAAGCGCCGGCUAACUACGUG